CCUACGGGUGGCUGCAGUGGGGAAUUUUGGACAAUGGGCGCAAGCCUGAUCCAGCCAUGCCGCGUGAGUGAAGAAGGCCUUCGGGUUGUAAAGCUCUUUCGUAAGGGAAGAAAACUUAUCCUCUAACAUAGGAAGAGGUUGACGGUACCUUGAUAAGAAGCACCGGCUAACUACGUGCCAGCAGCCGCGGUAAUACGUAGGGUGCGAGCGUGAAUCGGAAUUACGGGGCGUAAAGCGUGAGUCGGAUGUGAAAGCCCCGGGCUCAACUUGGGAACUGCGUUUGAAACUACAAGACUAGAGUAGGUCAGAGGGGGGUAGAAUUCCACGUGUAGCAGUGAAAUGCGUAGAGAUGUGGAGGAAUAUCAAUGGCGAAGGCAGCCCCCUGGGAUCAUAUUGACGCUCAUGCACGAAAGCGUGGGGAGCAAACAGGAUUAGAUACCCGGGUAGUC
rnacentral:rRNA from 1 species